AUUGAACGCUGGCGGCAGGCCUAACACAUGCAAGUCGAGCGGAUGAAGGGAGCUUGCUCCUGGAUUCAGCGGCGGACGGGUGAGUAAUGCCUAGGAAUCUGCCUGGUAGUGGGGGAUAACGUCCGGAAACGGGCGCUAAUACCGCAUACGUCCUGAGGGAGAAAGUGGGGGAUCUUCGGACCUCACGCUAUCAGAUGAGCCUAGGUCGGAUUAGCUAGUUGGUGGGGUAAAGGCCUACCAAGGCGACGAUCCGUAACUGGUCUGAGAGGAUGAUCAGUCACACUGGAACUGAGACACGGUCCAGACUCCUACGGGAGGCAGCAGUGGGGAAUAUUGGGCAAUGGGCGAAAGCCUGAUCCAGCCAUGCCGCGUGUGUGAAGAAGGUCUUCGGAUUGUAAAGCACUUUAAGUUGGGAGGAAGGGCAGUAAGUUAAUACCUGGCUGUUUUGACGUUACCAACAGAAUAAGCACCGGCUAACUUCGUG
rnacentral:rRNA from 1 species